UCCGGUUUGGCACCGGCGGUCUCCCAUGAGUCCCCGGCAUUACCCGCUGGCAACAUAGGACAGGGGUUGCGCUCGCUGCGGGACUUAACCCAACAUCUCACGACACGAGCUGACGACGGCCAUGCACCACCUGUGUGGAACCCCGAAGGACACCGUAUCUCUACGGCUUUUCUCCACAUGUCAAGCCUUGGUAAGGUUCUUCGCGUUGCAUCGAAUUAAGCAACAUGCUCCGCCGCUUGUGCGGGCCCCCGUCAAUUCCUUUGAGUUUUAACCUUGCGGCCGUACUCCCCAGGCGGUCAACUUCACGCGUUAGCUUCGUUACCAAGGGAAUCAAUCCCCCGACAACCAGUUGACAUAGUUUAGGGCGUGGACUAC
rnacentral:misc_RNA from 1 species